GAUGAACGCUGGCGGCGUGCUUAACACAUGCAAGUCGAACGAUGAAGCCCAGCUUGCUGGGUGGAUUAGUGGCGAACGGGUGAGUAACACGUGAGUAACCUGCCCCUGACUCUGGGAUAAGCCCGGGAAACUGGGUCUAAUACUGGAUAUGACCUGUCACCGCAUGGUGGUGGGUGGAAAGAUUUUUUGGUUGGGGAUGGACUCGCGGCCUAUCAGCUUGUUGGUGAGGUAGUGGCUCACCAAGGCGACGACGGGUAGCCGGCCUGAGAGGGUGACCGGCCACACUGGGACUGAGACACGGCCCAGACUCCUACGGGAGGCAGCAGUGGGGAAUAUUGCACAAUGGGCGCAAGCCUGAUGCAGCGACGCCGCGUGAGGGAUGACGGCCUUCGGGUUGUAAACCUCUUUCAGUAGGGAAGAAGCUUUCGGGUGACGGUACCUGCAGAAGAAGCGCCGGCUAACUACGUGCCAGCAGCCGCGGUAAUACGUAGGGCGCAAGCGUUAUCCGGAUUUAUUGGGCGUAAAGAGCUCGUAGGCGGUUUGUCGCGUCUGCCGUGAAAGUCCGGGGCUUAACUCCGGAUCUGCGGUGGGUACGGGCAGACUAGAGUGCAGUAGGGGAGACUGGAAUUCCUGGUGUAGCCGGUGAAAUGCGCAGAUAUCAGGAGGAACACCGAUGGCGAAAGCAGGUCUCUAGGCCUGUAACUGACGCUGAGGAGCGAAAGCAUGGGGAGCGAACAGGAUUAGAUACCCUGGUAGUCCAUGCCGUAAACGUUGGGCACUAGGUGUGGGGGACAUUCCACGUUUUCCGCGCCGUAGCUAACGCAUUAAGUGCCCCCGCCUGGGGAGUACGGCCGCAAGGCUAAAACUCAAAGGAAUUGACGGGGGCCCGCACAAGCGGCGGAGCCUGCGGAUUAAUUCGAUGCAACGCGAAGAACCUUACCAAGGCUUGACAUGGACUGGAUCGCCGCAGAGAUGUGGUUUCCCUUCGGGGCUGGUUCACAGGUGGUGCAUGGUUGUCGUCAGCUCGUGUCGUGAGAUGUUGGGUUAAGUCCCGCAACGAGCGCAACCCUCGUUCCAUGUUGCCAGCGGGUUAUGCCGGGGACUCAUGGGAGACUGCCGGGGUCAACUCGGAGGAAGGUGAGGACGACGUCAAAUCAUCAUGCCCCUUAUGUCUUGGGCUUCACGCAUGCUACAAUGGCCGGUACAAAGGGUUGCGAUACUGUGAGGUGGAGCUAAUCCCAAAAAGCCGGUCUCAGUUCGGAUUGGGGUCUGCAACUCGACCCCAUGAAGUCGGAGUCGCUAGUAAUCGCAGAUCAGCAACGCUGCGGUGAAUACGUUCCCGGGCCUUGUACACACCGCC
rnacentral:rRNA from 1 species